UCCAGAUCCCUAUCACCUAAUGUGAGAUCCAAAAGUAGCCAAAGCCGUAGCUGUAGCCGAUCUGUUGAUUCCAGGGACCGAUAUUCAGAAUAGGACAUUGUUGUUAUGAAUGGUGAGUGAUGGCGCUCUCAGAUGGAAUAGUAAAAGCGUAGGAGAAAAUUAAGGGUAAUAUUCAGGGGGCUGGAUUUUAAUGUAUUAUGUGUUAUGCG
rnacentral:misc_RNA from 1 species